GCAAAACGAGGAAUUCGCCUUUGCAUCAGCAGCGCCAUUGCAACAACAAAGGCGGCAGAGGUAACAGAAACAUCAAUGUGACCUAAAUAUAGAGUGACUACAGGCAUGAGAGCACAGAUGACAGAACAAACUCUUGAUACGUAUCGAGGAGGAGGAGUCAUUCCAUCAGCAAUUCCACGACUCCUUACCAGUUCAAAGUACUCUCGUGCACCCACAAAAACAGCAGCAGCAAGGGCAACAGUGAAAACCCAUCCUCCAGUCAAUACCACACCUCCGACUAAAAUACCUAUGCCAAGUCCAAAGACUACCCUUUUCUUCAAUUGACUAUUUUUCUCCUCAAGUUCAGAAGUGGAAAUUUCCCCCGCCGGUGUACUGUUGCAUUUGUUAACUUCCUCUUUGGAUUCAUCAUCAAAA
rnacentral:misc_RNA from 1 species